rnacentral:lncRNA from 1 species
CCUUUUAUAAAGCUGAUUAGCUCCUAAAAUAUGCUGAAAGGAAACAAAACCAAAAAGAAAAAAAAGAGUGGGGUGAGACAGCAGCUUUGUCGGGUAACAUACAACGGCCAGGAGGAACACAGAAAUAAACAAAACCAAGUGACUCAGAAGAGCAAAUCACUCCAAAAUGGAAAAGAGGGCGCUUUUCCAAAACCCUCAGGCCAUACUGAGCAACCAAUUUCUAUAAAGUAUAGGUUGCAGGAAGGAAGACCCUGA